UUCAUGGCUCUGUGUUGAUUAUGUUUGAUCGUUUUUUUAUACUGCAUUCAACAUUUAUGUGCUAAAUAUGGAUAUUAUAGACAUAACCACAACUAAACACCAUUUGUAUAUGCCGUGGAAUUAUAGGAUGGGUUGUUGUUUUUAUAUUUUCGUGUGAUCAAAUAGAUAGGUACUAGGCCUACUAAAUGGCUGGACUUUUCACCUGCAAAUUAUACAUUGUAAUUUGUAUACUAAAAUACAGAAUGGAUUCUUUGUAAUUUGGAAGAUAGAAUGGUUUAUAGUGAUAGCAGGUAGUCCCGUAUUUUUAAAAGGAAUGGCUGGUGAUCCACGCACCACUAUUCCUACACCACUAUCAAGUUCUGAUAAUAUUAAAAGUUUGCCGGAUUUGCCAACACCAGAAAAGGCUACGACUGACCCAUCUUACAGACCCUUCCUCUCCAUCAAAGCGUAAGAAAACUGUGCACAGACAUGUUGUCUCAAGGCAUCCAAGAGAUGUCACAGAGACCACAGAAAAAAGGGCGGCAAGGUUGAGAUCACAGAGAAUUGAUGGAUUGCAGAUGUUAAUAUCACAGCUGGAUGAUAAAAAAAAAAGAAUGGAAUUACUGUUUGUCAUAAUAGAAAGACAACCGGGUUUGAAAUUUGCGACAGUUUGACUAUUGCAGAUAGAGACACACCAGUCACGUCUCCACCACCACCGACAAAAAAUUAUGCUAUAAACUUUUGCCUCAAAAUUGCUUAUCUCUAAGACAAGACCGGAAAUUGAUCAGUAUUGAGGGGGUUUAGAUCGCAUUACAAACAAGAGAUGACAUUUUGUUAGGGUGCCAGAUGAUGACGAACAGAAAAGGUUUCGCCUUCCUGUCUACCGUCAGAUUUGGAGGCACAGUCGACUUGGAAGAGAUAAUCAGACAAGUAAUAUCAAACUGUAUCCUGAGAAAUGGGCAUAACCAUGAAUAAAGGAGCACUGUUCAAAAGACCUACCCAAAUUAUCAAACAAAACAUUUUUUUCUAUUAGUUAAAGAUACAUUAUGGUGGAUUAGAUAAAGAUCUGGCAGUUCUCACUAUUAUAGUUAAAACUAGAUGAUGUAAAUGGAAUAAGCUGAGAAUUUCAGUCAAAUUGCUUCACUAUAAGCCGAGAAAACCUUAUUGUAAAAAUGACUGUAGCCUAAAUUGUCAUUGUUACCGCCAAGAAAACCUUUGUUUAAAAAUGACUGUAGCUUCACGAUAAUAAACAAAGUCUUGAUUAUCCAUUGUUGCGUUUAAUCAACAGACGGUGAACAGCAGAUCAGAUUCAAAUCCAAUGAAAAUCGGACACCUUAGAUGACAUCAAGAGUUUAUUAUAAUAAAUGUCUAAUUAAUACAUGUAGUUUAUAUAACAUUUCAGACCUAAAGAAAGACCUGCA